GCUCCUUUUCCUUCUCUGGCAAUGAUGGUUGCAAAGAUUAGUCAACAAGAUGGCUAAACUCAGUGGCUAAAAGUGUCAUGUAAGGCAGACCACCUGAGUUUGGUCCCUGGGAUCCAUAUAAAAGUGGGAGGAAGAGGCCACCUCCACAAGUUGUUCUGGCUGUCAUACACAGAGGCUGGGAGUGCCUGCACUCCUGUCUUAGUUACAGUUCCUACAGCUAUGAAGAAACACCAUGACCAAAAGCAACAUGAGGAAGAAAGGGUUUAUUCAGCUUAUGCUUCCACAUCACUGUCCAUUGUUGAAGGAAGUCAGAACAGGAACUCAGACAGGGCAGGAACCUGGAAGCAGGAGCUGAUGCAGAGGCCAUGGAGGGGUGCUGCUUACUGGCUUGCUCCUCAUGGUUUUCUCAGCCUGCUUUCUUAUAGAACCCAAGACCAUCAGCCCUGCCGUGGCUCCACUCAGAAUCAGUUGGGCCUUCUGUAUCUAUCACUAAUUAAGAAAAUGCCUUGCGGGCUAGAGAGAUGGCUCAGUGGUUAAGAGGCACUGGCUGCUCUUCUAGAGGUCCUGAGUUCAAUUCCCAGCAACCACAUGGUGACUCACAACUAUCUGUAAUGAGAUCCAAUGCCCUCUUCUGGUGUGUCUGAAGACAGUGACAGUGUACUCAUAUACAUAAAAUAAAUCUUUAAAAAAA
rnacentral:lncRNA from 1 species